rnacentral:tRNA from 1 species
AAGAAGUUAAUUUAACAAAAAUAUUUAAUUGUCAAAUAAAAUAUAUGAAUUUUCAUACUUCUUG